GUAGGGAAUAUUGGGCAAUGGAUGCAAGUCUGACCCAGCCAUCUCGCGUGCCGGAAGAAGGCCCUCAGGGUUGUAAACGGCUUUUGACGGUGAAGAAUCGACAGGAUGCGUCCUGUUUUGACGGUAGCCGUUGAAUAAGCACCGGCUAACUCCGUGCCAGCAGCCGCGGUAAUACGGAGGGUGCGAGCGUUGUCCGGAUUUAUUGGGUUUAAAGGGUGCGUAGGCUGGAAGGUCAGUCAGCGGUGAAAAGCUGUCGCUUAACGAUAGUCUUGCCGCAGAUACUUCCUUUCUUGGAUGAGGAGGAGGCCACUGGAACGGAUGGUGUAGCGGUGAAAUGCAUAGAUAUCAUCCAGAACACCGAUUGCGAAGGCAGGUGGCUGUACCUUAAUCGACGCUGAUGCACGAAAGCAUGGGGAGCAAACAGGAUUAGAUACCCGGGUAGUCC
rnacentral:rRNA from 1 species